GACGUAGGGAGCAAGCGUUGUCCGGAAUUACUGGGCGUAAAGAGCUCGUAGGCGGGAGCGUAAGUCUGGAAGGAAAUCUCAAGGCUCAACUUUGGGGCUUUUUCAGAUACUGCGUUUCUUGAGGGUAUCAGAGGAUAGUAGAAUUCCCGGUGUAGCGGUGAAAUGCGUAGAUAUCUGCAGGAACACCCGUGGCGAAAGCGGCGCGCUGGACCACAACUGACGCUGAGGAACGAAAGCUAGGGGAGCAAACAGG
rnacentral:rRNA from 1 species